GCGCACCAGGCGCGAAACCUCCGCAAUACACGAAAGUGUGACGGGGCCAUCCCGAGUGCCGUCCGCUGAGGACGGCUUUUCCCCAGUGUACACAGCUGGGGGAAUAAGGAGAGGGCAAGCCUGGUGUCAGCCGCCGCGGUAAUACCAGCUCUCCGAGUGGUGGGGACGCUUAUUGGGCCUAAAGCACUCCGUACGCCGGCGUGGGACAACGUCCCUUACCGUUAAACUACCC
rnacentral:rRNA from 1 species